rnacentral:rRNA from 1 species
CCUACGGGCGGCAGCAGUGAGGAAUAUUGGUCAAUGGGCGCGAGCCUGAACCAGCCAAGUCGCGUGAGGGAGGACGGCCCUACGGGUUGUAAACCUCUUUUGCCGGGGAGCAACGGGCGCCACGUGUGGCGUCACUGAGAGUACCCGGAGAAAAAGCAUCGGCUAACUCCGUGCCAGCAGCCGCGGUAAUACGGAGGAUGCGAGCGUUAUCCGGUUUUAUUGGGUUAAAAGGGGGCGUCGGCGGCUCGUAAAGUCAGUGGGCAACUUGAGGGGCUCAACCCCUUCCCGCCGUUGGAACUGGCGUGCUUGAGUGGACGAGAGGUAUGCGGAAUGCGUGGUGUAGCGGUGAAAUGCAUAGAUAUCACGCAGAACCCCGAUUGCGAAGGCAGCAUGCCGGCUUCCGACUGACGCUGAAGCACGAAAGCGUGGGGAUCGAACAGGAUUAGAUACCCUAGUAGUC